rnacentral:pre_miRNA from 1 species
UCAUUCGGAUUCGCCAUCAUACGCCCAACCGUGCAUUUGAUAUGCAUAUAUAUGCAUCACGAGCCACGGUGGAGCUGUAUGAUGGCGAUACCGAUUGG